rnacentral:rRNA from 1 species
UACGUAGGGUGCGAGCGUUAAUCGGAAUUACUGGGCGUAAAGCGUGCGCAGGCGGUUUUGUAAGCCAGAUGUGAAAUCCCCGGGCUUAACCUGGGAAUGGCAUUUGGGACUGCAAGGCUGGAGUGUGGCAGAGGAGACUGGAAUUCCUGGUGUAGCAGUGAAAUGCGUAGAUAUCAGGAGGAACACCGAUGGCGAAGGCAGGUCUCUGGGCUGACACUGACGCUCAUGCGCGAAAGCGUGGGGAGCAAACAGG